rnacentral:lncRNA from 1 species
AUUGGCAGAGUUCGGGACCUUGAUCGAGUCUCGGAGCGAUCUGCCUUCCAUUUUCUCCGGUAUCUCGGGACAUCUUCUUUUUGUCUUUUUCUUCUUUAAUUCUGAGUUGAGACUCAUCUCAUGGGUCGUUUCGAUCCGUGUGGCUCGAGGUUAGACCUGCGGGAAAAAAACAAACGAACAAAAUUUUCUGCCCCAGUUUCACUAGGAAAAAUUUCGUGAGUUAUUUGCCAGGAAGUUCAUAGAAUUGAUGAAGAAAUUUGGAAAAUUUCAGUUUCCAAAAUGCCAAUUCCGGGAUUGGAUCCACGGUACGGCCACAAGAUAUGAGUGCUCAGUUUUAGGGUUGGAGCCCUAAGGCUGGCGGGAUGGAAAUAGUUCAGUUUAGGGUUGGAGCCCUAAUGCCGACUAGCUUGGGAGAAGUUCAGUUUAGAGUUGAAACUCUAAUGCUGACCAACUGGGGAAAAGUUCAGCUUAGGGUGGGGCCCUAAUGCUGACUGAAGGAAAAGAGUUCAGUUUAGGGUUUAAAACCCUAACGCUGACUGAAUGGAAAAGUUCAGUUUAAGGUUUAAAACCCUAAUGUUGACUGAAUGGAAAAAGUUCAGUUUAGGGUUUAAAACCCUAAUGCUGACUGGAUGGAAAAAGUUCAGUUUAGGGUUUAAAACCCUAAUGCUGUCUAAAUGGAAAAGUUCAGUUUAGGGUUUAAAACCCUAAUGCUGACUGGAUGGAAAAA